AACGAACGCUGGCGGCAUGCCUAACACAUGCAAGUCGAACGAGACCUUCGGGUCUCGUGGCGCACGGGUGCGUAACGCGUGGGAAUCUGCCCUUGGGUUCGGAAUAACUCAGAGAAAUUUGAGCUAAUAACGGAUGAUGACGAAAGUCCAAAGAUUUAUCGCCCAAGGAUGAGCCCGCGUAAGAUUAGCUUGUUGGUGGGGUAAUGGCCCACCAAGGCGACGAUCUUUAGCUGGUCUGAGAGGAUGAUCAGCCACACUGGGACUGAGACACGGCCCAGACUCCUACGGGAGGCAGCAGUGGGGAAUAUUGGACAAUGGGCGAAAGCCUGAUCCAGCAAUGCCGCGUGAGUGAUGAAGGCCUUAGGGUUGUAAAGCUCUUUUACCAGGGAUGAUAAUGACAGUACCUGGAGAAUAAGCUCCGGCUAACUCCGUGCCAGCCGCCGCAGUAAUAC
rnacentral:rRNA from 1 species